ACCGUGCGCUUGCCGAAUCCCGUCCGCGGGAACCGGGGACCCGCCCUUCCGCUACCGCGGGAGGGGUCCAAUGGGGUGAAUCGGGCAGCCGUCAGGCCCGUAGGAGACCUUCCUGCUCCGAACCCGUCAGCUAACCCGGUAGGCGAGAAGGAAGGAAAGG
rfam:Streptomyces paucisporeus strain CGMCC 4.2025 genome assembly, contig: Ga0079900_103